UACAGAGGGGGCAAGCGUUGUUCGGAAUUACUGGGCGUAAAGGGCGCGUAGGCGGCCUUCUAAGUCGAACGUGAAAUCCCCGGGCUCAACCCGGGAACUGCGUCCGAUACUGGAAGGCUUGAAUCCGGGAGAGGGAUGCGGAAUUCUCGGUGUAGAGGUGAAAUUCGUAGAUAUCGAGAGGAACACCGGUGGCGAAGGCGGCCAACUGGACAGAUACUGACGCUGAGACACGAAAGCGUGGGGAGCAAACAGG
rnacentral:rRNA from 1 species